CGAACGCUGGCGGCGCGCCUAACACAUGCAAGUCGAACGAGCGAGAGAGAGCUUGCUUUCUUGAGCGAGUGGCGAGCGGGUGAGUAACGCGUGAGGAACCUGCCUCAAAGAGGGGGACAACAGUUGGAAACGACUGCUAAUACCGCAUAAGCCCACGACCCGGCAUCGGGUUGAGGGAAAAGGAGCAAUCCGCUUUGAGAUGGCCUCGCGUCCGAUUAGCUAGUUGGUGAGGUAACGGCCCACCAAGGCGACGAUCGGUAGCCGGACUGAGAGGUUGAACGGCCACAUUGGGACUGAGACACGGCCCAGACUCCUACGGGAGGCAGCAGUGGGGAAUAUUGCACAAUGGGGGAAACCCUGAUGCAGCGACGCCGCGUGGAGGAAGAAGGUCUUCGGAUUGUAAACUCCUGUUGUUGAGGAAGAUAAUGACGGUACUCAACAAGGAAGUGACGGCUAACUACGUG
rnacentral:rRNA from 1 species